rnacentral:rRNA from 1 species
GACGAACGCUGGCGGCGUGCUUAACACAUGCAAGUCGAACGGAAAGGCCCUGCUUUUGUGGGGUGCUCGUGUGGCGAACGGGUGUGUAACACGCGUGUAACCCGCCCCUGACUUUGGGAUAACUUCAGGAAACUGGGGCUAAUACCGGAUAGGAGCUUUUGCUGCAUGGUGGGGGAUGGUAAGUUUCGGCGGUUGGGGAUGGACUCGCGGCUUAUCGGCUUGUUGGUGGGGUAGUGGCUUACCAAGGCUUUGACGGGUAGCCGGCCUGGGAGGGUGACCGGCCACAUUGGGACUGAGAUACGGCCCAGACUCCAACGGGAGGCAGCGGUGGGGAAUAUUGCACAAUGGGCGGAAGCCUGAUGCGGCAACGCCGCGUGCGGAAUAACGGCCUUCGGGUUGUAAACCGCUUUCGCCUGUAACGAGGCGUGAGUGACGGUAAUGGGUAAAGAAGCACCGGCUAACUACGUG